rnacentral:rRNA from 1 species
CCUACGGGUGACAGCAGUGAGGAAUAUUGGUCAAUGGGCGAGAGCCUGAACCAGCCAAGUCGCGUGAGGGAGUACUGCCCUAUGGGUUGUAAACCUCUUUUGUCGGGGAGCAAAAGCCGGACGUGUCCGGCUGUGAGAGUACCCGAAGAAAAAGCAUCAGCUAACUCCGUGCCAGCAGCCGCGGUAAUACGGAGGAUGCGAGCGUUAUCCGGAUUUAUUGGGUUUAAAGGGUGCGCAGGCGGAUUUUUAAGUAAGCGGUAAAAUCGUGGGGCUCAACCCCAUCCAGCCGUUGAAACUGGGGAUCUAGAGUGUGCGAGAGGUAUGCGGAAUGCGUGGUGUAGCGGUGAAAUGCAUAGAUAUCACGCAGAACCCCGAUUGCGAAGGCAGCAUACCGGUGCACAACUGACGCUCAGGCACGAAAGCGUGGGUAUCGAACAGGAUUAGAUACCCGGGUAGUC